rnacentral:rRNA from 1 species
AUACGUAGGGGGCGAGCGUUGUCCGGAAUGAUUGGGCGUAAAGGGCGCGUAGGCGGCCCGGUAAGUCUGGAGUGAAAGUCCUGUUUUUAAGAUGGGAAUUGCUUUGGAUACUGUCGGGCUUGAGUGCAGGAGAGGUAAGUGGAAUUCCCAGUGUAGCGGUGAAAUGCGUAGAGAUUGGGAGGAACACCAGUGGCGAAGGCGACUUACUGGACUGUAACAGACGCUGAGGCGCGAAAGUGUGGGGAGCAAACAGGAUUAGAUACCCUGGUAGUCCACACUGUAAACGAUGAAUGCUAGGUGUAGGGGGUAUCGACCCCUUCUGUGCCGCAGUCAACACAAUAAGCAUUCCGCCUGGGGAGUACGGCCGCAAGGUUGAAACUCAAAUGAAUUGGCGGGG